CGAGCGAGAAAGUCUCUUCGGAGGCGAGUAGAGCGGCGAACGGGUGAGUAACACGUAAGUAACCUGCCCCUAAAUUCGGGACAACCUUUCUAACGGAAGGCUAAUACCGGAUGUGGUCCUAAUGCUGCAUGGUAUAAGGAUUAAAGAUGACCUCUUCUUGAAAGUUAUUGUUUAGGGAUGGACUUGCGGGUCAUUAGCUUGUUGGUAAGGUAACGGCUUACCAAGGCUUUGAUGACUAGCCGACCUGAGAGGGUGAUCGGCCACAUUGGGACUGAGAUACGGCCCAGACUCCUACGGGAGGCAGCAGUAGGGAAUAUUGCGCAAUGGACGAAAGUCUGACGCAGCAACUCCGCGUGAGGGAUGACGGUUUUCGGAUUGUAAACCUCUGUUAAGUGGGAAGAAUAGGGUAUGUUUUAAUCGGCAUAUCUGUGACGGUACCACUUCAGAAAGCACCGGCUAACUACGUGCCAGCAGCCGCGGUAAUACGUAGGGUGCAAGCGUUGUUCGGAAUCACUGGGCGUAAAGCGAACGUAGGUGGGAAAGUAAGUUAGGAGUGAAAAUUAUCGGCUCAACCGGUAACCUGCUUUUAAAACUGCUUUUCUUGAGUAUGGAAGAGGAAGAUGGAAUUCCAGGUGUAGCGGUGGAAUGCGUAGAUAUCUGGAAGAACACCAGUUGCGAAGGCGGUCUUCUGGUCCAAUACUGACACUGAGGUUCGAAAGCUAGGAUAGUCAACAGGAUUAGAUACCCUGGUAUCCCUAGCCGUAAACGAUGGAUACUAGUUGUUGGGAGAUUUAUUUUUUCAGUGACGCAGUUAACGCGAUAAGUAUCCCGCCUGGGGAGUACGCUCGCAAGAGUAAAACUCAAAGGAAUUGACGGGGGCCCGCACAAGCGGUGGAGCAUGUGCUUUAAUUCGAUGCAACGCGAAGAACCUUACCUGGUCUUGACAUGUGAAUGCAAUUUUCUAGAGAUAGAGAAGUUUCCUUCGGGAACAUUCAACACAGGUGCUGCAUGGUUGUCGUCAGCUCGUGUCGUGAGAUGUUGGGUUAAGUCCUUCAACGAGCGCAACCCUUAUCCUUAGUUGCCAUCAGGUAGUGCUGGGAACUCUAGGGAGACUGCCUGGAUUAACCAGGAGGAAGGUGGGGAUGACGUCAAAUCAUCAUGGCCCUUACGACCAGGGCUAGACACGUGCUACAAUGGACGGUACAAAGGGUAGCGAGACUGCGAAGUUAAGCCAAUCCCACAAAACCGUUCUCAGUUCGGAUAGGAGUCUGCAAUUCGACUCCUUGAAGUUGGAAUCGCUAGUAAUCGUGGAUCAGCAUGCCACGGUGAUCCGUUCCCGGGCAUUGUACACGCCGCCCGUCAAGCCAUGAAAGACGGUAGUACCCAAAGUC
rnacentral:rRNA from 1 species